UAACCCACUGAGCCACCCAGGUGCCUCAUCACUUUUGGCUUAAUUAUCUUUCCUCCGUUAGGACACGAACUGUGCCUAUCCCUUUGUUACAGGGGUCUAUCUCCAGCAUCUGUUGCUUAUCUUCUAGCCUGGGGAAAGGAAUGAACUAUUAGGAGGAACACAUGGGCUGGGGUUCCAAUUGGGCCUGAAGUCUGAAGGCAGUGCCGUCAAGGGUGGUGGCAACCAGGGGCGGGGCCACGUCGAGGGGCGGGGCCUGAGCGGAGCGCUCCUCUGACUUUGAGUAGGUUGCAGGUUUCCCCUCAGAGUCUUGAGAGUAGUCUCCUUUACUUUUGUGAAACAAGAAUUGUCGAUUGACGCUCACAGAGCGGGCUUUGGAGACACCUAGAGGGAUCUUUCAGCCAGUAAUGCCAUGAUUCUGCCAGGCACAUGGGGGUCGGCGCCAACGAGGCCGUUGAGACCGCUGGCCGUGUUAAGGCACGCCCCCCCCCCCCCCCCCCCAUACAACAGCCUAGUUCUGGUCGCUGAAGAGGAAGGUCUUGGAGGCCGUGCUCAAAACUGAGCCCGCAGCAGAGGAGGUUGGCGGUCGUCGGAGCUCGCCAGCAUCGUGGCCCUCAGAACUCCUGUUUACCGCAGAUACUCGGGACCCUGGCUGCCGGGCCUUGGAGAUCUGCAUCCUGCAGACUUAGUCAUGCACCAGGACUCUUGAUGGAGUAAGAAUAUUAGCAAAGGACUUCUCCUGUCUCUUGGGUAGUGAAGGACCUGAUACUGGGCACAGUGGAAUGCUAGCUCACUCGUCUCUUCCCUUGUCAGGAAAGUUGGUGGAAGAAGAGACACUUGGAGAAUCAAGACUCUCCCAUGAGUAGGUUGGGUGCUGAGAAGAACAGUUACCAGAAAAGGAAACACAAAGAAUGGGAAUGGCUUUUCAUCCUGGUUGUGGGAAGAAUAAACACAUUUCAUAGAGCCAAGCUGCAAGGGGAUUGUUCCGAGACUGGAAAUCUAUUCAGGACACGGAUUAAACUCUGUCACUGCUGUUGA
rnacentral:lncRNA from 1 species